GGGUCAAUGAUGAGAACUCUAAUGUCUUAAGAGAGAUGGUGACAAAAAUCUGUCAUGGGUGGUGUCAUCUGAGGCCC